ACUGCUCAGUAACACGUGGACAACCUGCCCUUAGGUUGGGUAUAAACCCGGGAAACUGGGUAUAAUACCCGAUAGGUCUCGAUUGCUGGAAUGCAUCGAGAUUUAAAGCUCCGGCGCCUAAGGAUGGGUCUGCGGCUUAUCAGGUAGUAGUGGGUGUAGCGUACCUACUAGCCUACGACGGGUACGGGUUGUGAGAGCAAGAGCCCGGAGAUGGAUUCUGAGACACGAAUCCAGGCCCUACGGGGUGCAGCAGGCGCGAAAACUUUACAAUGCUGGCAACAGCGAUAAGGGAACCUCGAGUGCCAGGUUACAAAUCUGGCUGUCGAGAUGCCUAAAAAGCAUUUCAUAGCAAGGGCCGGGCAAGACCGGUGCCAGCCGCCGCGGUAACACCGGCGGCUCGAGUGGUAACCGUUAUUAUUGGGUCUAAAGGGUCUGUAGCCGGCCGGAUAAGCCUCUUGAGAAAUCUGGCAGCUUAACUGUCAGGCUUUCAGGGGAUACUGUCUGGCUCGAGGCCGGGAGAGGUGAGAGGUACUUCAGGGGUAGGGGUGAAAUCUUGUAAUCCUUGAAGGACCACCAGUGGCGAAGGCGUCUCACCAGAACGGACCUGACGGCAAGGGACGAAAGCUAGGGGCACGAACCGGAUUAGAUACCCGGGUAGUCCUAGCCGUAAACGAUACUCGCUAGGUGUCGGCCACGGUGCGACCGUUGUCGGUGCCGUAGGGAAGCCGUGAAGCGAGCCACCUGGGAAGUACGGCCGCAAGGCUGAAACUUAAAGGAAUUGGCGGGGGAGCAC
rnacentral:rRNA from 1 species